rnacentral:tRNA from 1 species
GCUAACGUAGCUUACAUUUAAAGCAUGACACUGAAGAUGUUAAGACGAACCCUAGAAAGUUCCGUAAGCA